UUCGAGCUUCUCUGGAUCGAAGUUCGAGCUGGUGGCUUUGUUUCCCUUGCACUGGAACUGCAUUGCACGUUGCCGCACUGAUGGUGGUGGCUUUGUUUCCCUUGCACUGGAACUGCAUUGCACGUUGCCGCACUGAUGGGAUCUCGAAUUCCAUUAGCUCUUGUAGCUGUGCAGACCCAUUUUUUUCGCGAGGAUUUUCAUGGGCUCCACGUCGAGAAUACUGCGAGCGUGAAUUUCUAAGGCGAGGCUGAUUGGAGGUUGGUUGGAGACUUCUGGCGCACCGUUCGGAAGCAGUUACGGAUGCAUUGUUCGGUUUGCGACUUGACGUGAAGAGCUAGUGAUGGUUGCGGUUUACAUGAAGUGUGGAGUGUUGUAGCAGUAAUGGGUUCUUGUCGAAUGAGCAAAGAUGGCGUAUGCACUGGUAGAUGAUCUGGACCCGCUGUCGAGCCACACUGUAAAGGAUGGGGACAUUUCCGUUGCCGAUCGUCUUGCGCUAGUUAAGGUUGGGGUUCUGUUUAGGUUAGGAUUGAUAGAGAAGGAUGGGUGACGUUUCCUUCUGAAGGAGGGGAUUUGAGGAAAAGGAGGUGUAAAGGUAAAGGGUGGAAGAGAAAGAGAGAUGAGCUUAGACGGGUCGGAGUCACCGGCACCGACAUUAUCACAAUCAUCCAGUUGUGGUGAUUUAGCAGCUUUGCUUGACGUUGAGCUAUUUGUACAUGAGGAAUCAAUGCAGGCAGGAAGACGGGGAUUUGGUGAUCUAUGUGAACAUGAGCUCCUCUCCCUUUGAGCUCCUCUCCACUUAGGUUAGGUUCUGAAUUUGAGCGUGUUUCCGUGGCACUUGGGCGAUUUUCACCCGGUAGCUGUCAAUUUUUCUUGUCAGGCAAUAGUAGAAGUUAUGUAUAGGUUUUUGGGUUGUUUGUAACUUUUUGCUGUUAAGUGGCUAUGUUAACUGGCUAAGCAGACAUUCAACUGGGUUAAGAGUUGGGCUUAUAAGCCUACGACGAUGGUUUGAAGAGUGCCUGAUUUUUCAUCAACUAUUCCUGAAUACUUGCUCCCAUUGGUAGCGUGAAAUUGGUGCGUUGCUCCUACACACUCCUGUAUUGGGAGUUUAUAAAGUAGUUUGUGAAGCUUCUCCA